rnacentral:rRNA from 1 species
GUAGUAAUUCUAGAGCUAAUACAUGCGCCAAUACCCAACUGCUUGUCGGACGGGUAGCAUUUAUUAGAUUGAAACCAAUGCAGCUUUCGGGCUGGUAUUGUGUUGAGUCAUAAUAACUGUGCGGAUCGCGUUCUUUUACGCGAUAAAUCAAUUGAGUUUCUGCCCUAUCAGCUUUGGAUGGUAGGAUAUGGGCCUACCAUGGCAUUAACGGGUAACGGGGAAUUAGGGUUUGAUUCCGGAGAGGGAGCCUUAGAAACGGCUACCACAUCCAAGGAAGGCAGCAGGCGCGUAAAUUACCCAAUCCUGACACAGGGAGGUAGUGACAAUAAAUAACAAUGCCGGGCUUUUUAAGUCUGGCAAUUGGAAUGAGAACAAUUUAAAUCCCUUAUCGAGGAUCAAUUGGAGGGCAAGUCUGGUGAACCAAUCAGUUUGUGUUCUAUACUGCUGACGCCAGAGAUAGUAGGGCUUUUCUUAAAAUCAUUAAACUAAAUGAGAUUUUGAAAAGUUAUGCCUGCUAGUCGAGUAUCUGCAACAGUGAUGGGUAGAUACCGGCAAGACAACCUGGAUCGGGGAAGGCUAAGGUGAAAGAAAGAAAAAAAGUUGAUUCUUUUUCUUUUUCUCUUGCUAUGCUAAUCCCGAGCGGAGCUCCUAAGAAGUGAUUCUUAGAUAGCCCGUGUAGAGCGCGCUAAGGUGUCGGCUGUUCUCAUUCAUUUGAGACAGCUUAAGGGACGUGCCUUUCCAUUUGAAAAAAUGUCUUUAACUGGAGCACCCAUCAUGUAAAGGUUAAAGAAGAUUUUGUAUUUCGAGAGAUUUGUUUCUUUCUAGCAAAAUCUGAAUAUGAUUUGUCAAAUGACAAGCAUUUUUAUUAUUAUUAUUAUUCGAAUGAAAAAAGGAAAUGGAAAUUAGACUUUUGUCUUAUUUUUAUAUUAAUACUACUAAAUAUCAUUCAAAGUGCCAUUUUGGUAAAUUGGAGAUUAGUGUAGUAUUAUCUGAUCUUUGUUCUAAAUAAUAAUUAAAAAGCAUUAUAACUGUCAUUUGAUAAAAAGUAUGUUGCAAAAGGCCAGCAGCCGCGGUAAUUCCAGCUCCAAUAGCGUAUAUUAAAGUUGUUGCAGUUAAAAAGCUCGUAGUUGGAUUUCUGGUUUGAACGUCCGGUCCACUUCCGGCUUGUUCCGUGAGGUGCGUACUAUGGAUGUUUGGAUCAUUUUUUGUGAGGAUGCCCUUCUGCCAUUAAGUUGGUGGUUGGGUGGACUUGCAUCGUUUACUGUGAAAAAAUUAGAGUGUUUAAAGCAGGCGUUUGCUCAUUUGAAUACAUUAGCAUGGAAUAAUAAGAUACGACCUUGGUGGUCUAUUUUGUUGGUUUGCACGCCAGGGUAAUGAUUAAUAGGGACAGUUGGGGGUAUUCAUAUUUCAGCGUCAGAGGUGAAAUUCUUGGAUCGCUGAAAGAUGAGCUUAGGCGAAAGCAUUUACCAAGGAUGUUUUCAUUAAUCAAGAACGAAAGUUAGGGGAUCGAAGAUGAUUAGAUACCAUCGUAGUCUUAACCAUAAACUAUGCCGACUCGGGAUUGGCAGUCGUUUAAUUUGAAUGACCUUGUCAGCACCGUAUGAGAAAUCAAAGUCUUUGGGUUCCGGGGGGAGUAUGGUCGCAAGGCUGAAACUUAAAGGAAUUGACGGAAGGGCACCACCAGGAGUAAACAAAGAUGUUUCAACUACAAAAGCCGUAGUUAACUCUGCUCCAGUGUGGACUCCAUAUAAGUAAUAUAUGGGUAAAGGUCCAUGCUAGUAAAUAUCUUGACGAAAAAUUUUUUAUCAACAAAAAAUUUACAAUAAACGUUUGAGUCUUGAUAUUUGCAACACCAUUAAAUUGCGGGAAACCCCUAAAGCUCUUGUACACCAAGCAGUAGUAGUAAUAUUAUUGUGGCUGGGGUAAUGACCUAAGGUAUGGUAAAAGCGACAAGAGAUGUUAACAAUGGGCAAUCCGCAGCCAAGCUUCCUUUUUAUUAAAGGAAGAAGGUUCAGAGACUAAACAGUGGUGGGCUGUGUAAGAUCGGUAUAUGCUGUGUUGAAGCGGAUUAUUCGAGUUUAAUUUAAAGUGUGUUGAUAUGAAGUAGAGUAUUUUAUUUCAUUGAACAACACUAUUGAUUGGAUUCGAUUCAAUUCAAUUCAAUUUCAAAAUUGAAAGUAACCGAUUUACAAUACAUGGCUUAAGAUAUAGUCCGGCUGCCGUGAAAGCGGUCCCUAUUGAUGAAAAAGUUUACGUUUAAACUUCGGAGCUUUAGGGGGAUCUUUUCUUGAAAAGAUCUAGAUAGAAAUAUGAUGUAAGGCAAUUUCUAUUGUAAAAUGGGAGCCUGCGGCUUAAUUUGACUCAACACGGGGAAACUUACCAGGUCAACUGUAAUAUUGUUGCUUAAAGAACAAUGUCUGGGCCUGGGAUAGUAGGUACUGAAUAUAAUAUAUCUUAUUCAGUAUAUGCCUGCUAGUACUUGCAUUAACUCAUGUUGGAGAAAUCUCCAAUAAUUCGGGCAUGAGAAUAGAAUAAUAUCUAUGUUGCAAGUGCGACACCAGCUGGUACAGGGAACGCUAAGGACUUUUUAAAAGUCUAUGCCAAUCCUGUGGCGAGUCUGAGUAAUGUCAGACCGUCGCAACGCGCGCUAAGCGGUGGGCUAUUAAUUUUUAAUUAGUGGCUUAAGGUACGUGCUAAUCCCUCGGGAAACCGAGCUUCUAUUUCAAGGGCCGAUAUAACCAAAGAAUAGAAGGGUCGCAUUUGGAUACUCAAAAGGAAAUGUUUGAGUAGAUGACCGGUAUAUUUAUAAAUUAUUUAUGUGAUUUGGGCAAAAAUAAAAUUGCCAUGUGUGCGUAUGGAUUAUUUUAAAAUUAAUCCUAGACGCAACAAGUAAAUCACAUAAUUAAUUGGCAAGUAAUAAAUGCCAGACAUAGUAAGGAUUGACAGAUUGAGAGCUCUUUCUUGAUUCUAUGGGUGGUGGUAAACCAUGUGCCACAGUAAGUGUGCAUUUUCCAUCAUUUUAUGUGAAAUUUCAUGUAAAAUGUAAACUUUAGAGGCCGCCCUGGGUUUUAAGAACAGCCCGAAGAUGCCAUAAAGGGAAGAUGAUAAACACCUUGCUAGUUAUAGUAAAGUUUUAAUUUUACUAUAGCGACAUCAUCAAAUUGCGGGAAACCCCUAAAGAUUAAUGCUACCAAGCAGUCAUGGAAACAUAGAUUGUGGCCGAGUUAAUUGCCCUGGGUAUGGUAAAAACGCAUUAAUAUGAUCUUUUUUUUUCUUGGAAGAAAAAAGUGAAAUGGGCAAUCUGCAGCCAAGUCCUAAGGCUUUUUUCUUAUUACAUGAGAGAAAGCUAUGGAUGCAGUUCACAGACUAAAUGGUGAUGGGCGAAAGCUUAAGAUAUAGUCGAAUCCUUUAUGAAAGUAAAGGUAGGUAAUAGAUACAAUUUGGGAUACAUUCUCAUCAUAUGUAUCUAUUAUCAACUUGUCAUAGAAUUUAAUGGCAUGGCCGUUCUUAGUUGGUGGAGUGAUUUGUCUGGUUAAUUCCGUUAACGAACGAGACCUCCGCGUGCUAAAUAGUUCUGCUUACAAUUUUUGUAGGUAAGAACUUCUUAGAGGGACUUUUGGCGACUAGCCAAAGGAAGUUGGAGGCAAUAACAGGUCUGUGAUGCCCUUAGAUGUUCUGGGCCGCACGCGCGCUACACUGAUGCGUUCAACGAGUUUACAACCUUGAUCGAUAGGUCUGGGUAAUCUUUUGAAUGCGCAUCGUGCUAGGGAUAGAUUAUUGCAAUUAUUAAUCUUGAACGAGGAAUUCCUAGUAAACGCAAGUCAUCAGCUUGCAUUGAUUACGUCCCUGCCCUUUUACAUUUGUACAGGGGGCUAAAAGUAGGUCUGAAAGGAUCCUGCUAGUCAACGGUUCUCAAUUUCAUGGCAACACUAUCAAAUUGCGGGGACGCCCUAAAGCUUUUUCUACCAAGUUAGAUUCGGAAACGAUCUAAUGGCCAGGGUAAUGACCUCGGGUAUGGUAAAAACGAAAAAGAUGCAACAAUGGGUAAUCCGCAGCGAAGUCCUAACCUUGCUUUAUUUUAAUAUAUUGUGAGUAUGGAGCGCGUUCACAGACUAAAUGGUAGUGGGCUCUACAUUUAUGUAGGGCUUAAGAUAUAGUCGGUCCUCCAGGAAACUGGAGACUAUGAGAGGAAUAGUUGGUAACGAGAACCAUUCUACCAGCUAGGAGAGCUCAUAGUGACAUGAUCAGAAAUUGGAAAGAAAUUUUAUUAUUAAAAUAAUCUGACAAGGGGAGGAGUAUGAUGACAUAUUUCAAUCCAGUCUUGAUACUUUGAUGAGCAGACCUUUCCAAUACAGUUUUUUGACUGUGAUUCUCUUGACUGUUUUCAUUCUUGAUAUAAUUUGUUGAGAAUACAUUUUUUUCGGACAUGAUCAAAGAUGAAGAUUGCAAGAGAACUGAUUGCGUUGUUUGAAAUGUUGUACACACCGCCCGUCGCACCUACCGAUUGAAUGACUCGGUGAAAAAUUGGGACCGUGAGUUCGCUUGCUUUAUUGCGA